GACGAACGCUGGCGGCGCGCUUAACACAUGCAAGUCGAACGGAAAGGCCUGCUUUCCCUUGUGGAUUGCGGGUACUCGAGUGGCUAACGGGUGAGUAACACGUGAGUCAUCUGCCCCCAACUUAGUUAUAAGCCUGGGAAACUGGGUCGAAUUCCCGAUAGGACUGCAGGGUUGUGCCGGUGGUGGCAAACGAGUUUCUAGUGGUUGGGGCCGCGCUCGAGCCCUAGCAGCUUGUUGUGGGGGUAAUGGCCUACCAAGGCGGCGACUGGUAGCCGGCCUGUGAGCGUGGACAGCCACAUUGGGACUGGGUUCCGGCCCCGACUCCUGCGGGCGGCAGCAGUGGGGACUAUUGCACCAUGGGCGGAAGCCUGAUGCAGCGACGCCGCGUGGGGGAUCUCGGCCUUCGGGUUCUAAACUCCUUUCGACCGCGAGGAAGCCACCUGGUUGGGCGGGUGGUGACGGUAGUGGUAGAAGAAGCACCGGCUAACUACGUG
rnacentral:rRNA from 1 species